CUUCUUUUUUUUUUUUUAUUUACUUUUAUAUGCUCUGUGGUUCGAAGCUUGUGUUUUUAAUUUUUGGUGAACGAUUACUUGCUUAUUGAUUAGCUUUGGUUCUGCUACGCUGCUGUUUUGGGUGUCACUGUUGUGAUUUUAUUAUUUUAAUUUACUGAUUAUGAUCAUUGAAUGUGUUGUGAUUAUUGAUUAGCUUUGGUUCUGUUAUGCUACUGUUUUGUGUGUCACUGUGUUGCUGAUUAUAAUACCUCAGUCAGUGCUCAGUGUUUGUUCUUGGUUGAUUGGCUUUGCUCACUGCUUGAUGAUAAAUUUUUUAUUUUGAUGACUCUGUUACUGGGUUUCUGCUUGAUGAUAAGUUGCAUUGCCUGUAUUAUUGAUUCACUGCUCAUUCUUGCUCUUCUAUUCCCAUAACUACAGUAAUUUAUCACUUUCACAAAAACUGUUUUCUAAAUAGAAAUUAUUCUAGACAAGAAGAAUGAUUUUUUGAAGAGCAAUAAUCAUAAGAAGCUGCUGAAGUGCUAACUAUUGCAUAUGUGAGAUAAGUUUCAUUGUGGCAAAAAUAUGGAGGUAAUUUGGAGGACAUAAAUAACUUUAGUGAAUUCUUAUUUGAUUUCUGAAGAUAUGUUGGAAUUAAUUCCAAUCUUUGACAAUAAAUCUAUAUAUGCUUAUAAAUACAUGGACCACAAUAAAUUAAAACUUUGUAAAGAUGAAUUAUGGCAUGAUGCUGAUCAAUAUGGAUUAUCUUGGUUUAAUGUUGCUGAAUCAAAAUUGUGUUGUUUUACUAAGAUUUUGAGGAUCACGCUCUAAUAAUUGACCUUGCAUAUUAGUAAACUGAGUUUUUAAUAGAAUUUAUAGGUGCUGAAAUUUGGGUUGGCAGGGUUAGAAAUUAGAAUUUACCUGUAACUUUGUUUUGUGUUUCGAGCUCUGUUCAAUAGCAAAGUAGACAAGUGUAGGGUCAAAAGAACCUAAGUUCAGAUUGUGGAUCUGUCACUGUGAUAUUCAGGAAAUGCAUAUGUAGGGAAGUAGUAGUUUUGUGUAUUUAAAAGAACUAUAUUUUAAGUUGAAAAUUAACUCCAAGUAAGUUUGUGCAUUAUAAUAUGAGUAAGUUUGUGUAUUUAUAAAUGACAACUUUAGGCACCAGUUUUAUAGAUUUCCUUGUUUUUUGCAAGUUUUUCAAAUUGUUUUAGAUAUAUAAGGAGAGAUGGUCGAUGACAUAGUUUCGAAGUCUGAAUCAAGACUUCAACUCUUGUCAUUUCCGUUCUAAGUUGGAGUAUAUUAUCAUUUAUCAAUAUCAACAAGCUUAACAAAGGUUAUGUUUUAGUAUAUUUAUUUAUUAUUUUAUUAUAAAACAGUUAUUUCGGUUGAACUACGAUUGAAUCGGUUGAACCAAUAAACCAGUAACUAGAGUGGUUCGAUGACCGGUCCGGUUUUCAGAACCUUGGUUUAAAGAAUUAUUACCUAUUCUUAUUCCUAAACACACUAAGUGUUCAUACUCUCCCAAAAACCCUCUCACAACUGACAAGCCAUUGCGUGUUCAUACUCUUCCAAUCGAUGCUCACAAUCGCUGUUUCCUUUGAAAUCAAGAAUGAAAAAACUAUUCUCCAUCACAAUCUCUUCCUCUCUAUUUCUCUGGAUCGUGAUUUAUUCUCCUUCGAACCUUUCUCAGUCAAUCUAAUUCCAGGGUUUGAUUAUUCUCAAUUUUGAUUGUUUCUUUUUCGUUUCAUGCUUGUUCCAAUUUCGUUUUAAUUUUGUUCCAAAAUAUUGCCUGCACAAGAAGAGUAGCAUUAUUCAAUCUGAUCGUAGUGUGCGUGAGUGAUUGAAUCGAAACUGCAAUGAGAAGGGGGAAACUCAAGAGCAAGCCCACCGGUUGCCACCAGUUCUCCACGCCGGAAGAUCUCUGUUGUGUCACUAAGCUAUGGGAUUCUCAUCUAUGAUGAUCUAUGUCAGCUAAGGUUCACACUUUUUUUUUUGGCAUACAUUAGAAAAUAAUGGCUAAAAAGGGACAGCACCUAUUUGCUCAAAUAUAUAGCAGUUGUUAUGAGGUCUACUACUACAAUGUAAGUUUAUUUUAUAAAGAGUAGUAUUAAUUGAAACAAUAUUGACUCACAUCUUUCCAAUCUUGUAAACUAGAUUUCCAUUCUCUUCUUUCUUGUUUUCUUCAAUUUGGGAGUUUAGGUCCUUUCGAGUAAGCAAGUUGAUUCUGCUGUUAUUUAUUACUGGAAAUUGAAACAAUUUUGACACAUCUUUCACCUACGGCACUAUUUUGACCUACUGAAACCUAAAACAAGCAAUUCAAUUCUUAUGUUCUUUUUUGGACAUUUUAGAUCAUGUUUUUUUCUAAUUAAUGCUGAUUUUACAUUAAAUCCUGCAUCGGACUGAUAUAUAUAAUUCAGCUUAUAGAAAUCCAGGUCUUCAAAACCAUACAUGCUUGAGACUAAUGUAUGAAUGUUCAUUUGAUUUCUAGUUCCGAUGAAGACAGUGUAGUGGUGAGUAAUGAGUUGUCAGAAAAAAGAGAAAGCCACUCUUUAGGUAUCACUCCUGGCUGACUAUUGUUUGAGAAUCAGUUGGUAUUUGCUGAGUUUAGAUUGUUUCAAAUAUGUGUAAGUAAUAUUCAUGUGACAAAUCUUUUUAUUGCUUAACUGUUAAUUGUAAAGUCGAGCCACUUUUCUCAUUUAUUUUCAAAUUAUGAUGGUGCUAUUUCAAUGUUUUUGGAGUUUCAUUAGAUAUACUGUUCUGUCUCAAGAUUUAUAUACUCUUGUUUUCUGAUAUUCAAGUUUUGCAGUCAAUCAUGCUGGAGUCUUAUUUUUCAUUACCAUUUAAUGUAUUUUUCUAUGCUUAAUUCAACUUUUUAUCUUGUGUAUAAAUAACCAUAUUGUCUCAAUGCUAUCUUUCAGAUGUUUUAAUUUUGAUUUCUAUAGACUUUUUUCAUGGGAUUUCUUAUUAAAUUUAGUAGGAGAAUGCUGUUGUGUGUUUUGUCAUAGAAUUCUCCUUAUAUAUUUGAACUAGUGGAAUUACUUGGUAACUGAAGGGCUAUCCUUAAUCUGAGAUGCUAUGCUAUCCUUUUGGAACAAGAUUUACAAAUUAAAAAAAUCCGCAGAGUAACUUUCUUCUAUUCAAAAUCUAUUUAUCCUUAGCUGUUUGGAACUUUUCUUAAUUAAGCAUGCAAAAAAAUAAGCAUGCAUUUCCUAAUUAAUUUCAUUUCAUUCUAAUUAAUUUCUUAAUUUAUAUAUUUCUUUUCUUAUUGUUUCGUUUUGCUAAUGUCAGGUUAUUUGAAGUUCAAAUAAUAACUGUCUCGUUUUAGUUGCUACUUGAGCUGGAUUUGGAGGUAUUGUCAUCUGGAAAUCAUUAGGAAUAAAUGUACCUAAGCAAGAAGUUUGCUUUGCUUUGCUGCUUAGACUUCGCUGUUCUAUGUUCUGAACUAGUAUUUAACUAUUUUUGGGAGUUUUGAGGUUGAUUAGGGGACAAUAUUCCGAGACAAUAUAAAUUAGUUACUUCUUUACAAUUCCUUUUUCAGCUU